rnacentral:ncRNA from 2 species
UGGAAUACGGAGCUCUAUGGUGCUUAUGGGGAAGGCAUAAGAUUAAAAGGGAAGUUCGGUGAAAGUCCGACGCGGUCCCGCCACUGUAACGGGGAACACAGUUACAAGAAUGCCACUGUUUCUUUUGACAGAAAUGGGAAGGCGGUAACUGUGUAAUGACUCGAAGCCAGGAGACCUGCCAUAGGGAACAAUACCGU